UACUAGAGGUAAAUGUUGAGUAAAAAUUAGCUCAGUUUCUAUGCUCAUAAAGUUUACAGUCUAGAGGGAGACCAUGACUUUACUUAAAAAUUAAUUAAUUCAACAAUUAUUCCCUGAGUGCUCACUAUAUGGUGGGAUAUAGCAGUGAAUAAACCAGAUGAAUUUCAUGCCCUUUGGGGCUUAUAUUUAAAUAAGUACAUGAUUAAACUCUGAGAUGAGUGUGUGCGGAAUGUUAAAAUGGAAGUUCUGGCUGUGUUCCACAAUGCAAGAGUUUCUAAGGAGGUGUCUUGCCAUCAAUGAAAGUUUCCAUGGCAACAUCUGUAAACUGGCCCCAUGAUGCACGGACCCCUCAGUUGGGGUCUAUAAAUGGGCCGGGGUAGGGAGAGGGGUUUGGAGAGUUGCUGUGCUUGUGUUGUGAGUCCCCAGUGGACCUGCCAGGGAGAGAGGGCUGGCUGUUAAAUAGUGUGGAUGGCUCUGGCUUCAGCCCUGCCCUGGCUCAGCUCUGCCAACUCCAAAGCCUGAGCAUCCUCGAAGGAAAAGCUGAAGUCAUACCUCCUAUCUGCAGUCUCUUUCAACCAAACUUGACCUCUGGCUUACCCCCUCCACUCAUGAUCUCUCCAUUUUACUGUCAGCAGCAAACAAUCACUAUGACACACCACCUGAUUUCUUCCCCAUCCGUUCUGUACCCUAAUCAGGAGUGCCAACCCCAGGCUGGGCCCCCGUGUGCGUGGUGCAUUGGCUGAUGAUUGGCAUAUAUGACAAUGCAUUCUGCUUUUUCAGCCUCCAAAUGGCAGCAGGGCAAAUGAAUGUGGAAACGACUCAUCUUCCUGCCAGCCCCCAUGUGAGAAAAAACAGAAUCACAUCUCUAUUAUUUUCAUGGAAGAGAUUCUGGAAUACAGUAAGGUCUCACUGUUCAUUUCUGAUUCCAGAGCUUACCAAGCAUAGUCAAGAGGCUGACAGCGAGGCACGACAAGAAUUCACAAAGCGAAACCAAAGGGUGACAUACAAUGGCACUCUGCUGGAGUUUCCUUCUGCUUUCUGGGCGUGGUGGAAAGGCCCCUACUAGAUGAAUGGGAUGUGAAUUUCCAGGACAGAGUGUGUUGGGAAGGACACUGCAGGAGGUGGAGGCAGCUAGAGGGACAGCCAGAUGGAAAGAGGGAUGAGCACCCAUCAGCUAGUCUCAUCAGCUGUGUUUCCACAAUACUUUCCUCCUUUCUCUUUAUUUGGCUGCACUGGGUCUUUGUUGCACAUGGGCUUUCUCUAGUUGUGGUGCA